GAUGAACGCUGGCGGCGUGCCUAAUACAUGCAAGUCGAGCGAACGGACGAGAAGCUUGCUUCUCUGAUGUUAGCGGCGGUCGGUUUAGUAACACGUUGAUAACCUACCUAUCAGACUGGGAUUCCUUCGGGAAACCGGAGCUAAUACCGGAUAAUAUUUUGCACCUCAUGGUUCAAAAGUUAAAGACGGUCUUUCUUUCACUUAUAGAUGGAUCCGCGCUGCAUUAGCUAGUUGGUAAGUUAACGGCUUACCAAGGCAACGAUGCAUAGCCGACCUGAGAGCGUGAUAGGCCACACGGGAACUGAGACACGGGCCAGACGCCGACGGGAGGCAGCAGUAGGGAAUCUUCCGCAAGGGGCGAAAGAGUGACGGAGCAACGCAGCGGGAGGGAUGAAGGUCUUAGGAUCGGAAAACGCUGUAAUUAGGGAAGAACAUAUGUGUAAGUAACUGUGAACAUCUUGACGGUACCUAAUCAGAAAGCCACGGCUAACUACGUG
rnacentral:rRNA from 1 species